CGCGAACGCUGGCGGCAGGCUUAACACAUGCAAGUCGAACGGGCAUCUUCGGAUGUCAGUGGCAGACGGGUGAGUAACACGUGGGAACGUACCCUUCGGUUCGGAAUAACUCAGGGAAACUUGAGCUAAUACCGGAUACGCCCUUUUGGGGAAAGGUUACUUCCGAAGGAUCGGCCCGCGUCUGAUUUGCUUGGUGGUUGGGUAACGGCCUACCCAGGCGACGAUCAGUAGCUGGUCGGAGAGGAUGAUCAGCCACACUGGGGCUGAGACACGGCCCAGACUCCUACGGGAGGCAGCAGUGGGGAAUAUUGGACAAUGGGCGCAAGCCUGAUCCAGCCAUGCCGCGUGAGUGAUGAAGGCCUUAGGGUUGUAAAGCUCUUUUGUCCGGGACGAUAAUGACGGUACCGGAAGAAUAAGCCCCGGCUAACUUCGUG
rnacentral:rRNA from 1 species